AGCGCGGCGCACGGCUCAGUAACAUGUGGUUAACCUACCCUCAGGACGGGGAUACCCUCGGGAAACUGAGGCUAAUCCCAGAUAGAUGAGGGAUCCUGGAAUGGUUCCUCAUCGAAAAGGCACGCAUAUCAUGCUAUGCGUGUCGCCUGAGGAUGGGACCGCAUCCUAUCAGGUAGUUGGUGGGGUAACGGCCCACCAAGCCUAUAACGGGUACGGGCCCUGAGAGGGGGAGCCCGGAGAUGGGUACUGAGACAAGGACCCAGGCCCUACGGGGCGCAGCAGGCGCGAAACCUCCGCAAUGCGCGAAAGCGCGACGGGGCCACCCCGAGUGCCAUCCGCUGAGGGUGGCUUUUCCCUAGUGUAGUAAGCUAGGGGAAUAAGCGGGGGGCAAGUCUGGUGUCAGCCGCCGCGGUAAUACCAGCUCCGCGAGUGGUCGGGACGAUUAUUGGGCCUAAAGCGUCCGUAGCCGGCCUAACAAGUCUCUGGUUAAAUCUCAAGGCUUAACCUUGAGAUCGCUGGAGAUACUGUUAGGCUAGGGGGCGGGAGAGGUUGAGGGUACUUCGCGGGUAGGGGCGAAAUCCUAUAAUCCGCGAAGGACCACCAGUGGCGAAGGCGCUCAACUGGAACGCGCCCGACGGUGAGGGACGAAAGCUAGGGGAGCAAAGGGGAUUAGAUACCCCCGUAGUCCUAGCCGUAAACGAUGCGGGCUAGUGGUUGGGUUGGCUUCGUGCCAACCCAGUGCCGCAGCGAAGGCGAUAAGCCCGCCGCCUGGGAAGUACGGCCGCAAGGCUGAAACUUAAA
rnacentral:rRNA from 1 species